rnacentral:rRNA from 1 species
AGAGUUUGAUCCUGGCUCAGGACGAACGCUGGCGGCGUGCUUAACACAUGCAAGUCGAACGGAAAGGCCCUUCGGGGUACUCGAGUGGCGAACGGGUGAGUAACACGUGGGUGAUCUGCCCUGCACUUUGGGAUAAGCCUGGGAAACUGGGUCUAAUACCGAAUAUGACCACGCUCUUCAUGGGGUGUGGUGGAAAGCUUUUGCGGUGUGGGAUGGGCCCGCGGCCUAUCAGCUUGUUGGUGGGGUAAUGGCCUACCAAGGCGACGACGGGUAGCCGGCCUGAGAGGGUGACCGGCCACACUGGGACUGAGAUACGGCCCAGACUCCUACGGGAGGCAGCAGUGGGGAAUAUUGCACAAUGGGCGCAAGCCUGAUGCAGCGACGCCGCGUGAGGGAUGACGGCCUUCGGGUUGUAAACCUCUUUCACCAGGGACGAAGCGCAAGUGACGGUACCUGGAGAAGAAGCACCGGCCAACUACGUGCCAGCAGCCGCGGUAAUACGUAGGGUGCGAGCGUUGUCCGGAAUUACUGGGCGUAAAGAGCUCGUAGGUGGUUUGUCGCGUUGUUCGUGAAAACUCACAGCUUAACUGUGGGCGUGCGGGCGAUACGGGCAGACUAGAGUAUUGCAGGGGAGACUGGAAUUCCUGGUGUAGCGGUGGAAUGCGCAGAUAUCAGGAGGAACACCGGUGGCGAAGGCGGGUCUCUGGGCAGUAACUGACGCUGAGGAGCGAAAGCGUGGGGAGCGAACAGGAUUAGAUACCCUGGUAGUCCAA